UUCUCCAUCACUGCUCCAGUGAAAGAACCUAGUGGGGAAACCCCCACUCAAUUCCCGAUUCGGCGUGCACCCAAGAAUCACGAACAGAACA
rnacentral:pre_miRNA from 7 species